UACGUAGGGUGCAAGCGUUGUCCGGAAUCACUGGGCGUAAAGGGCGCGUAGGCGGCCUGAUAAGUCGGGGGUGAAAUCCUGUGGCUUAACUGCAGGGCUGCCUCCUAGACUGUCAGGCUCGAGCACGGUAGAGGCAGAUGGAAUUCCCGGUGUAGCGGUGGAAUGCGUAGAGAUCGGGAAGAACAUCGGUGGCGAAGGCGGUCUGCUGGGCCGGUGCUGACGCUGAGGCGCGACAGCGUGGGGAGCAAACAGG
rnacentral:rRNA from 1 species